UCAGGCCUAACACAUGCAAGUCGAACGGUUGUAUUGUUUAGCAAUAGACGGUGCAAUAGUGGCGCACGGGUGCGUAACGCGUAUGCAACCUACCUCUAACUGGGGGAUAACCCCGGGAAACUGGGAUUAAUACCGCAUAAGAUAGUAUUGCGUCAUGGCAGAGCUAUUAAAGAUUUAUUGGUUAGAGAUGGGCAUGCGUGCCAUUAGCUAGUUGGUGAGGUAACGGCUCACCAAGGCUACGAUGGCUAGGGGUUCUGAGAGGAUGAUCCCCCACACUGGUACUGAGAUACGGACCAGACUCCUACGGGAGGCAGCAGUAGGGAAUAUUGGUCAAUGGACGCAAGUCUGAACGAGCCAUGCCGCGUGCAGGACGAAGGCCCUCUGGGUUAAAGCUGCUUUUGUAUAGGAAGAAACCCUUCGACGGUCGGAGG
rnacentral:rRNA from 1 species